rnacentral:rRNA from 1 species
ACGGGCGCACGGUGAGCGUAACGCGAAUGCAAUCUACCUUUUACAGAGGGAUAGCCCAGAGAAAUUUGGAUUAAUACCUCAUAGUAUUACGACUCGGCAUCGAGAUGUAAUUAAAGUCACAACGGUAAAAGAUGAGCAUGCGUCCCAUUAGCUAGUUGGUAAGGUAACGGCUUACCAAGGCUACGAUGGGUAGGGGUCCUGAGAGGGAGAUCCCCCACACUGGUACUGAGACACGGACCAGACUCCUACGGGAGGCAGCAGUGAGGAAUAUUGGACAAUGGGCGCAAGCCUGAUCCAGCCAUGCCGCGUGCAGGAUGACGGUCCUAUGGAUUGUAAACUGCUUUUAUACGAGAAGAAACACUACUUCGUGAAGUAGCUUGACGGUAUCGUAAGAAUAAGGAUCGGCUAACUCCGUGCCAGCAGCCGCGGUAAUACGGAGGAUCCAAGCGUUAUCCGGAAUCAUUGGGUUUAAAGGGUCCGUAGGCGGUUUAGUAAGUCAGUGGUGAAAGCCCAUCGCUCAACGGUGGAACGGCCAUUGAUACUGCUAAACUUGAAUUAUUAGGAAGUAACUAGAAUAUGUAGUGUAGCGGUGAAAUGCUUAGAGAUUACAUGGAAUACCAAUUGCGAAGGCAGGUUACUACUAAUGGAUUGACGCUGAUGGACGAAAGCGUGGGUAGCGAACAGGAUUAGAUACCCUGGUAGUCCACGCCGUAAACGAUGGAUACUAGCUGUUGGAAGCAAUUUCAGUGGCUAAGCGAAAGUGAUAAGUAUCCCACCUGGGGAGUACGUUCGCAAGAAUGAAACUCAAAGGAAUUGACGGGGGCCAGCACAA